ACCAAUCGCCAUGUAUCUUUGCUCCCAGUCAGAGUUUCCUCCUGGUUUCUGAGCAGCUUUUGUUGAUUAUUUUAUCUGAAGGGUUGUCUCCCAUUUUUAUGGUGUUGACCUAAAAUUCCCCACAUAGUUGAUAUUUUUCUGUCCUCAGCAGAUCUCCUCCGUCCUCUCUCUAUUCUCCAGCAGUUGUCUCCAUAUUUUGUGGAUUGAUCGAGGAUUGUACUGGUGGUUCAAUUUCUUUGCGACAUCUCUGUAUCCUUUGUGAUCGUUUUGUCAGCAUAAUCAUCAUAUAUACAUAUACAUAUACAUUCAUACAAUUUCAUGAUUUGCAUAUCCUUCAUCUCCAUAUUUGAUUUGUUUGAGAUUCUCAUUCUUUGCUAUGGCGGUACUUUAUUCCCAUACCAAAUCCGGUGUCUGUCCUCCUUCAAUUGUAGAGUGUCAGCCCCUUAAGCAGAAAGAUUUUAACCUUUCUCUGUUUCCC
rnacentral:lncRNA from 1 species